AGCUUGCUCAACCUGACAGCGAACGGGGGGGUAACAGGGAGUAAACGUGGGUAACCUGCCCAUCAGAAGGGGAUAACACUUGGAAACAGGUGCUAAUACCGUAUAACAAUCGAAACCGCAUGGUUUUGAUUUGAAAGGCUCUUUCUGGUGUCGCUGAUGGAUGGACCCGCGGUGCAUUAUCUAGUUGGUGAGGUAACGGCUCACCAUGGCCACCAUGCAUAACCGACCUGACAGGGUGAUCGGCCACAUUGGGACUGACACACGGCCCAAACUCCUACGGGAGGCAACACUACGGAAUCUUCGGCAAUGGACGAAAGUCUGACCGACCAACGCCACGUGAGUGAACAAGGUUUUCGGAUCGUAUAACUCUGUUGUUAGAGAAGAACAUGGAUGAGAGUAACUGUUCAUCCCUUGACGGUAUCUAACCACAAAGCCACGGCUAACUACGUGCCAGCAACCGCGGUAGUACGUAGGUGGCACGCGUUUUCCGGGAUUUAUUGGGGCGUAAAGCGAGCUCUCGCGGUUUCUUAAAGUCUGAUGUGAGAACCCCCCGGCUCAGCC
rnacentral:rRNA from 1 species